rnacentral:rRNA from 1 species
CCUACGGGAGGCCGCAGUGGGGAAUAUUGCGCAAUGGGCGAAAGCCUGACGCAGCGACGCCGCGUGAGGGAUGAAGGUCUUCGGAUCGUAAACCUCUGUCAGCAGGGAAGAACGGUCACUGUGCUAAUCAUCAGUGAAUUGACGGUACCUGCAAAGGAAGCACCGGCUAACUCCGUGCCAGCAGCCGCGGUAAUACGGAGGGUGCGGGCGUUAAUCGGAAUUACUGGGCGUAAAGCGCUCGUAGGCGGGAUGGCAAGUCCAGGGGGAAAUCCCCGCGCUCAACGUGGGAACUGCCUUUGAAACUGGCAAACUGGAGUGUGUGAGAGGAUAGUGGAAUUCCAGGUGUAGGAGUGAAAUCCGUAGAUAUCUGGAGGAACAUCAGUGGCGAAGGCGACUAUCUGGCACAUAACUGACGCUGAGGAGCGAAAGCGUGGGUAGCAAACAGGAUUAGAUACCCUUGUAGUC